CAGUCGAGGAGGAAAGUUUCCAUGCACCACUCUGAAGGAUAGUGUGGAUUAUGGUUCACAAUUUACUGAGGCUGU
ensembl:snoRNA C04G6.12 ncRNA